rnacentral:rRNA from 1 species
UACGUAGGGUGCAGGCGUUAAUCGGAAUUACUGGGCGUAAAGCGUGCGCAGGCGGUUUGCUAAGACAGGUGUGAAAUCCCCGGGCUUAACCUGGGAACUGCGCUUGUAACUGGCAAGCUUGAGUGUGGCAGAGGGGGGUGGAAUUCCACGUGUAGCGGUGGAAUGCGUAGAGAUCCGGAAGAACACCGGUGGCGAAGGCGGCCUGCUGGGACAGUGCUGACGCUGAGGCGCGACAGCGUGGGGAGCAAACAGG